UUGUGGAAGCUGCUAGAUACCAAGUUUUAGACGAGUUUGUGGAUUUGUAAAUGUGUAUCAGGUUCUGUUUGGAAGUAGAUAUUCAAGCCAAGGAAUUGAAAUGGGGCUUCAAAACUGAGAGGGGAAAUGGAUGAGCAUCUCGGGACGCAAAUUCAUCUAAACUGAGGCGUCUGCAAUCCUUCUUCUCUCCCACCAAUCACCCCACCGUCCUGCACCCAAAUACCCAAUCCCCUCAGCCGCCUCCUCCCCCAAUCCGCCGCCUACACGAGCAGCCCCUGGAGAAGCAGGGUCGGGACGGAGCGUGCGGCCGCUGCCCCGUGCCUCGCAUCUGGUGGAGCGUGGCCGUCUCGCGGUGCCCUCUGCUUCCCACCCGGCAGCUGCAGCACGGCAAGCACGCGCGGGGACGCGGUCGGCGGCGGCCGAACUCCACGAGCAGCCCCUGGAGAAGCAUGGCCGGGAGGGAGCGUGCGCAUCCGGUGGAGUCUAUUUAUUACCCUUCCUUAAUUUUUCUCCUUCUUCCCAUCUUUGUUUGUGCAGAUUUCGGUUGUCUACGUGACUACGCCUACAAGGGCUUCGAUUAAAAUCCAAAAAGGAUCGGAGAUACUAGCCUAUGAAUUGCAUGGCAGCUAAUUGUCAGCUAUUAAUUCUUGUUCAGCAAUGUCUGUGUACGUAUUUCAGAAACUUCUCAUGGUGCUCUACAAGUGACACUUCAUCAGAGAAAGAAAUUCAAGAGGUUCCUGAUCAUAUGAAGAUGAUUUCUAUGACCAGCCCUUUUGCUGUUUGGACGCAAGUUUUAUUGAGAGCCGCUGCUGGUUUCUUUGAUAGGGGACCAGAUGUACACAUCCACGGGAGGUGCUCUUGCUCCAAGAAAUACUUCAGAGCAACAUGGUGUGGAAGUUUCAGCAAAUGAUGUCAUCAUAAAAACAUUAUGGGAUCUUAUAAAGUCAUGAUUUCUCACCCAUACUCUCGGCGGCCCGUGAAGCUAGCGGUGAACAUAGAUACAUGAAUUUGUUUUAUGUCAAUGACAUGCUCUGCUUAAGCUUGCAGGUGCAUUGUGGACCAAAUGGUCAGCCUGGGAUUUUCGGGAGCAGCGGAUGCCAGCUAGGAGGCGGCUCAGCUUGGACCGGCGAUGGCGCUGUCGACUCCCCACUAUAUAAAAGCCUGAGGUCAUCGCCUCCAAGACCAGAAGGUCCUGCUUACUUGUUUAUUAUCGGUAUGAUAACUGCAGAUGCAAAGCAUCCAGGAUGUGAUCAGUCAUACAUUGGGUGCCGAGGGCUUUUGUUUACACUGGAGAAUGACAUUUAUCGUUCCAGUCCUUUGACAGUGCAGCUGAACUGAAGAGCUGUCAAAGAGAAGCGCGUUUCAAGAUUGCAUUGGACCUGUGUGCAGUGUAGAUAUAUGUUUUUAACAUCAUUAAAAUCAACAAUUAUGUUUAGUAUCACACAACGACUGAAAAUGAGUGAGGAUCAGGUGAGCUGCCAUGUCUACUCUCAUGUCAGUUCAGAGUUUAUAUCCUUCUGAGGGUAGUCGCAGUGAAGAGCUUUGAGUACAAAAUGACCAUCUUUGUUAAAUAUGUUUGACCUCUUACAAUUGGAUUUUACUCUUAAUUUGGUUCGUGCAUUAUAUUUGAGAAAUUAGAAAUUGUUCUUGGGUCAGUAAUCCCUUUAAUUUAUUUGUUUUUGACGUUCCAAAGUUGCUGCUUAUCUAAAGUGGGUUUUGAUUUUCUUCAUUUUCUUUUGCAGUUUUGUUAGAUAGGCUGUCAAGUUUUGGUUAUUGUACAGUGGUUUCAGUUUUGGUUUUGGUCACAACCACGCUUCUGGUGUUGUACUGGAAGCCCUUUUGGUUUUGUAUAGUGGUUUCCGCAAUAUUGCUCUUGUUGUUCGCCAUCAUCAGAGCAAGGAAACAUAAGCGCAAAUAAACAUAGUGAACGAUGUUUGUUCAAAUAAGCUCAAAAUUGGUGCUCUUUGUUCUGAAUGCUGUGACUGGAAAGUGUGCUGAACAUGGCUCCAUAUGUUCUCACUUGAAAAAUCAUUAAUCAUAGUUGAGUCGUGUUGGGGGCAGAUGGACGAAUGUUCUUAAUCAUAUCCUCAUUGAUCAUCUCAAUUGUAUUUGCUUCUGCUUUAUUCAGUUUGUUUCUUCCAAACUAAAUUACACAUGUUGUUCCUUCUCUAUUUUAUGUUUUUCCAUGCAAUUAGUUGAGCUUAAAUUCUUUGGACUCAUGUCUGCAACCGACCUAUUCUGUUCUCGGUUUGAUCGAGCUUGCACCCUGGUGAAUAUAAAGAUUUGUUGUCGUUUCAGAAGGCACAUUGCUUUCUUUAUGUUACACUCCAUUUGCAUAAUGUGCAUAUGCUUAGAAGGGUAAGCACAGAGUUUUGCGCCCCUCCAGUUUUAAAGUGUGUGAUGUCAAAAUAUUCAUAGAUAAACAAUGUUCUAAAAGGCACUCGGAUGUGGAAACCACCUGUAAAUGAAGGUUCGCGAGGACACUGGAGCUCUGGCCCCUUUUGCUACAGAUUUUGGUAUACCUUGUAUCUUGCAGUGUCCUAGGAGCUCUGGCCCCUUUUGCUACAGGUUUUGGUAUGCCUUUGUAUCUUGCAGUUUCCUAUCUCUGAAUAGCAGAGUAUGUGGAAAUGUUUCAUGAUUUCGAUGUUGGUUCUUGGGUGGUGACUUGAAGUAAAUUAUGAGUGGAUCUCCAUGGCAUUUUGGUAAAAUAGGCAAACUACAAAGAUGGACAGGGUCUCAAUCCUUAUUUUUCUUUUGGGGUCUCUUUUUGACAAAGAGUUAGGUAUGCACAUGUUUAAAAUAGGGUGUUCUUUUGUUCAUAUGUUUCCUUAUCUUUCAAUCCCACAGGUGGAUCACAUUUUGCUAUGAAUUUUAAGGGUACUGUGUGCUUGCUUGUUAGGACGACUUUAUGAUACUAUCGGAAGUAUAGAGUUAAAGCAAAACAUCAUGUAUUUAUUUCUACAUGGGAUCCCAUGUCUGCAAAUACUUAUGCUUGACCAACCAAGUUAUGUAAGGGGCCAGAUGUAUGCUGCAGGUAGUUCUUCGUGAUCCGAUUAAAUCUUUUGGCCUAUUGAGGUGUUGGAGAUGAUUGAAUUAAUGAAGUUCACUAUAUGGAGGCUACCUUUCAGUUUUACCUACAGACCAGGGUUGCAAUUUUGGAGAAAAUGGGACAUUUUGGUGACGUGUUGGUUAAGGUUUUGAAGGAUCCAUUGGCAAUGAAUUGGACGUAUCACAUAGCUGACAAUAGAAGAUAUGCAACAAGGACACAAAACUGUACAUCGGGAGCUUGCCUGCGGAGAAUCAAAGAUGGAUAUCGAGUUCUAAAUGCGAAUUGCUAUCUUUGUGUGUCCAUUGAAGGGUAUGGCACAGUGAAGAUUUUUGUUUCUAACAUUAUGUGAUCUCAGUGUGUUCAAUUUGUUUGCUUCUGAAUCUAAAAUGUUCCAUGGGUGCCCCCGCUUUGAAUUAUCAUGUUUUGCCUGCUUUGAAUUAUAGCAACACUCGAGUACCCUACCUAAUGUAGUAUUGACAUUUAACAGUAGUAUUAUUGGUUACUCUGCUUUGACA